rnacentral:rRNA from 1 species
UACGGGGGGGGGCAAGCGUUGUUCGGAAUUACUGGGCGUAAAGGGCUCGUAGGUGGCCAACUAAGUCAUACGUGAAAUCCCUCGGCUUAACCGGGGAACUGCGUCUGAUACUGGAUGGCUUGAGGUUGGGAGAGGGUGGUGGAAUUCCCGGUGUAGUGGUGAAAUGCGUAGAGAUCGGGAGGAACACCUGUGGCGAAGGCGGCCACCUGGGCCGACCCCUGACGCUGAGG